ACGGAAGGCAGCAGCUAAGAAUAUUCCGCAAUGGACGCAAGUCUGACGGAGCGACGCCGCGUGGAUGAUGAAGGUCGAAAGAUUGUAAAAUCCUUUUAGGAGUGAAGAAUAAGAGGUGCAGGGAAUGGCGUCACGGUGACGGUAGCUCCUGAAUAAGCAACGGCUAAUUACGUGCCAGCAGCCGCGGUAACACGUAAGUUGCGAGCGUUGUUCGGAAUUAUUGGGCGUAAAGGGUAUGUAGGCGGUCGUGCAAGCUUGGUGUGAAAGGCAGGGGCUCAACCCCUGGACUGCAUUGAGAACUGCAAGACUUGAAUUGCUGAAGGGCAGCCGGAAUUCCAGGUGUAGGGGUGAAAUCUGUAGAUAUCUGGAAGAACACCAAUGGCGAAGGCAGGCUGCUGGCAGAUGAUUGACGCUGAGGUACGAAAGUGCGGGGAGCAAACAGGAUUAGAUACCCUGGUA
rnacentral:rRNA from 1 species